rnacentral:rRNA from 1 species
AUUGAACGCUGGCGGCAGGCCUAACACAUGCAAGUCGAGCGGAUGAGUGGAGCUUGCUCCAUGAUUCAGCGGCGGACGGGUGAGCAAUGCCUAGGAAUCUGCCAGGUAGUGGGGGACAACGUUUCGAAAGGAACGCUAAUACCGCAUACGUCCUACGGGAGAAAGCAGGGGGCCUUCGGGCCUUGCGCUAUCAGAUGAGCCUAGGUCGGAUUAGCUAGUUGGUGAGGUAAAGGCUCACCAAGGCGACGAUCCGUAACCGGUCUGAGAGGAUGAUCAGUCACACUGGAACAUGGAAACGGUCCAGACUCCUACGGGAGGCAGCAGUGGGGAAUAUUGGAAAAGGGGCGAAAGCCUGAUCCAGCCAUGCCGCGUGUGUGAAGAAGGUCUUCGGAUUGUAAAGCACUUUAAGUUGGGAAGAAGGGCAGUAAGUUAAUACCUUGCUGUUUUGACGUUACCGACAGAAUAAGCACCGGCUAACUUCGUGCCAGCAGCCACCGCUGUAA